GAUGAACGCUGGCGGCAUGCCUAAUACAUGCAAGUCGAGCGAACAGAUGAGGAGCUUGCUCCUCUGACGUUAGCGGCGGACGGGUGAGUAACACGUGGAUAACCUACCUAUAAGACUGGGAUAACUUCGGGAAACCGGAGCUAAUACCGGAUAAUAUAUUGAACCGCAUGGUUCAAUAGUGAAAGACGGUUUUGCUGUCACUUAUAGAUGGAUCCGCGCCGCAUUAGCUAGUUGGUAAGGUAACGGCUUACCAAGGCAACGAUGCGUAGCCGACCUGAGAGGGUGAUCGGCCACACUGGAACUGAGACACGGUCCAGACUCCUACGGGAGGCAGCAGUAGGGAAUCUUCCGCAAUGGGCGAAAGCCUGACGGAGCAACGCCGCGUGAGUGAUGAAGGUCUUCGGAUCGUAAAACUCUGUUAUUAGGGAAGAACAAAUGUGUAAGUAACUAUGCACGUCUUGACGGUACCUAAUCAGAAAGCCACGGCUAACAACGUG
rnacentral:rRNA from 1 species